GGCCUGCAGAGUACCAGAAGCACUGCCUUUGCUUCUGCUGCUGAGAAGGAGAUGCUCUGACUGAACUGAAAACUGCUGAGGAUUUUCUCCCUAGGAUACCCGUUUCUGAGUGCUUCUGUUUGAGGAUCUAGUGAUUCUACUGCUGGCAGACUGACUGAUUCACACACAUGCAGAGGGGCCCUCCCCUACACCACCAGAAGAAAAUAAAGAACUGUCCGUACUGUUUUAGGAACAAAAGAAGGGGGGAAAGCGAUUCCCCCCUGCAACAAGAGGAUGAGUAGGGGACUGGUGAGGAAGCAACCCUGUCUGAAGAAUACACACAUAUCUGAAGACACUCUGGAUGCAGAUGCUGUAGGAUUUUGGUCUUUGCUUUGCAACUGAUGUUCUUUUGGUGGACACUGGGCUAUAUUCUCGAAUUUGGAAGAGCUGUGAACUUUUGGUCACGUCGAUUGUGGUAUCCGACAUCCCGUGGAACUGCAGCAGUGACCAAGACUUGGUGACUGCAAGGUGGAUCUAAGCUUCAUGACCAGAAAGAGAUUUGUUUUUCCUGAAGUACUCAGAAUUGCAGAGCCUGUGUGUGACAUCGUCAUGAAUGAGAGAAGAAAGUAAUACAGUAUUGGAUGUGCCCGCUUGCUGCCACUGUUUUGAGACAUAGC